rnacentral:rRNA from 1 species
AGUGAACGCUGGCGGUAUGCCUAACACAUGCAAGUCGAACGGCAGCACAGUAAGAGCUUGCUCUUACGGGUGGCGAGUGGCGGACGGGUGAGGAAUACAUCGGAAUCUACUUUUUCGUGGGUGAUAACGUAGGGAAACUUACGCUAAUACCGCAUACGACCUACGGGUGAAAGCAGGGGAUCUUCGUACCUUGCGCGAUUGAAUGAGCCGAUGUCGGAUUAGCUAGUUGGCGGGGUAAAGGCCCACCAAGGCGACGAUCCGUAGCUGGUCUGAGAGGAUGAUCAGCCACACUGGAACUGAGACACGGGCCAGACUCCUACGGGAGGCAGCAGUAGGGAAUAUUGGACAAUGGGCGAAAGCCUGAUCCAGCCAUACCGCGUGGGUGAAGAAGGCCUUCGGGUUGUAAAGCCCUUUUGUUGGGAAAGAAAAGCAGCAGGUUAAUACGCCGCUGUUCUGACGGUACCCAAAGAAUAAGCACCGGCUAACUUCGUG